rnacentral:rRNA from 1 species
UACGAAGGGGACUAGCGUUGUUCGGAAUUACUGGGCGUAAAGCGCACGUAGGCGGAUUUGUAAGUCAGGGGUGAAAUCCCGGGGCUCAACCUCGGAACUGCCUUUGAUACUGCAAGUCUCGAGUCCGAUAGAGGUGGGUGGAAUUCCUAGUGUAGAGGUGAAAUUCGUAGAUAUUAGGGAGAACACCGGUGGCGAAGGCGGCCCACUGGAUCGGUACUGACGCUGAGGUGCGAAAGCGUGGGGAGCAAACAGG